rnacentral:lncRNA from 1 species
AGAAAAAAAAAAAGGUAAAGCCUAAUUCCCCUCCCCAUGAGGAUGUGACUCGCUUCUAACAGAAUAUGGCAGAAGUAAAGAUAUGUGACUUUGAGACUAUGUCAUGAAGGACAUUGUGGCUUCUGCCUAUCUUUCUUCUGGAUCACACCCCAGGGGAGAAAGCCAACCUCCAUGUUGUGAGGACACUCAAGCAGCCCUUCGUGGAGGUCCGCGUGGUGAGGAAUUGAGGCCUCCUGCUGAUGGCUCAUGCUAACUUGCUAGCCGUGGGAGUCAGCUACCUUGGAAGCAAUCCUUCAUCCCCAGUCAAGCACUCAGAUGACCGCAGCUCUGGCCAACAUCUUGACUGCAACCUGUGAACGACCCUGAGCAGAACUGUCCAGUUAAGCCACUCCUGGCUCACAGGAAUGGGGGAGAUAAUAAACAUUUAUCGUUUCAAGCUGUUAAGUUUGGGGGUAUGUUAUGCAGCAAGAGAUAACAAAUGUAGAAUAUUUCACUCAUUUCUACAUGAAGAUUUCUUUUCUUUUUUUUUUUUUUGAGACAGAGUCUCUCUCUGUCACCCAGGCUGGAGUGCAGUGGCGCGAUCUCAGCUCACUGCAACCUCCACCUCCCGG